AAAUUUUGCCACAAUGGCAGCAAUUUUAGGAGAAGGGACGAGUGAAUUACCCCAGUGUUCAACUGGUAUUUAUUUUAUUGAUCCUGAAAGGAUGAAAAGCAAAGUUGACCUCAGCAGAAUUUGAACUCAGAACGUAGUGAUGGGCGAAAUGCUGCUAAGCAUUUUGUCAGGCAUGCUAAUGAUUCUGCCAGCUCGCCACCUUAAUAAUAAUAAUAACAAAAGCACUCAGAGAGCGCAAAUCUCCACCAAGACAACACCAUCGUCCUUUCAACGAUUAGCCAGAGAUGAUUUUUAAAAUGAGAAUAUCUGAAAUAAACUCAACUGCUCUCACAAACAAGAAUACUAAAAAUGAACCCAACUGCUCUCAAAAAUUAAGUAAAAAACAGGAAAAAUAAUCCAGAAUCCUUGUCCAGUACCGGAUUGAUAAAUCUAUUCAGCUCGUGCUAGUUGUGAGGUCAAACAUCCCUGAAAGUUUCAUCCAAAUCCAUCAGAGUGGUUCUUGAGAUAUCUUGUCCAUGGACAAACACAACUGAAAAUAAUACCUCUGCCUUUGCUAAGGCGGAAGUAAUAAUGUAGCCUCAAAAGUGAUUGUGGUACCUAUUGUGAUUGGUGCACUUGGGACCAUCUCAAAGACAGCAAUAUUCUGGUAUUGAGGUCGACUUCGCCUUUCAUCCUUUCGGGGUCAAUAUAAUCGACUUAAUCCGUUUGUCUGUCCUUGUUUGUCCCCUCUGUGUUUAGCCCCGUGUGGGUAGUAAAUAAAUAGGUAUUGAAAGCUGCAAAAACCAAACUUCAUACAAAGUAUUCAAUUGGUAGCCAUACUUGGAGCAGAUCAUGCAUUGAGGAAAGCUGUGAAAUGGCGCUGAGAGAUGAUAUUGGUAAAUUGGAAGAAGUUAAGUGAAUAAAUGAAUAAUAAUAUUUUCUAUUAAAGGCACAAGGCCUGAAAUUUUGGGGGAGGGGGACUAGUUGAUUACAUCAACCCCAGUGUUUCACUGGUACUUGAUUUAUCAACCCUGAGAGGAUGAAAGGCAAAGUCGACCUUGGAGGAAUUGAACUCAGAAUGUAAGGAAGGGUGAAAUACUGCUAAGCAUUUUGUCUGGUGUGCUAACGAUUCUGCCAGCUCACCACCUUUUUAAUAGUAAUCUAUCUAUAUAUAUAAAACUGAGAAUAUGUGAAGCCCUAAAACUCGAGAACCACCCAACCAAUUUCAUUCAAAUUUUACACAUGCAUUACUUCGGAUCCAUGGAGUGUCAUACGCCAAAAAAAUUUUCAACUUCUUGCCUAAUCUGAGUCCAAAGCAAUCUCUUAGACUGGUUCUGUUUUACAUGUCAAAAGUGAAACAAUAACAUCUAUAUUGUAAUGUGAUAUAUUGUUGUUAUACUUUUAUUCUUUCACUUUUAAUUUUAACUAUAAUAUUGUUUCACUUUUCUUUCUGUUUACAUUCUGAAAUACUUCUAAGCAUCAAAUGCAUUUCUUCAGAAGGCUGACAGCUCCCACUGGUAACCGUUUCUUUAUAUUCUAUCAGAAAAUCAAACCAUGUAUUUCUUACCUUACAAUAGCUAAUUCUGGUUAGAGGAAAAGUCUGAAAGUAUUGCUAAAUGAUAAUUGUCUGUUUAAUUAGUGGACAGAUGGCUUGAUUAAAUGGAAAUUAAAGGAAUAGGUGACAGGUUGAAGAUUCUGUUCAAAUCUAUAGCACUGCAGCUUGUCUGUGAGCAAGGUACUUCACUCUCAACAGAGUACCAUGAAAAUUACAUCUCACUAUCAUCAGCAGUAACACUGAGGCAAACAUCAUUAUCAUUUCAACAUUCACUUUUCCAUGACAGCAUGGGUUGGACGGAGCUUAUUGAGGCAGAUUUUCUAUGGCUGGAUACCCUUCCUGUCACCAACCCUCACCUGUUUCCAUGGUAACACUUUCCCAGAAGAAUGAAAAUGAAUGACAAUCAUUUACAACAUUAUGUGAUCUCAAGACAAGGAGACACAAAUGUACUAUCUCUCUCUCUCUCUCUCUCACACAUGCAUAAAUACAUAUAUACACAUACACACUUCCUUCAGUUUCC
rnacentral:lncRNA from 1 species